ACUAUACCUAGCCCAAAACCUCCCACUCUUCAGUUUAAAUAACUAAAUUAAUUAAAAUAAAACAUUUAUCCUAAUUAAAGUAUAGGAGAUAGAAAUUCUAAACACGGCGCUAUAGAGAAAGUACCGUAAGGGAAUGAUGAAAGAAAAAAAUCAAAGUACAAAAAAGCAAAGAUUAAUCCUUGUACCUUUUGCAUAAUGAAUUAACGAGCAAAAAACUUAACAAAACGAAUUUUAGCUAAGUAACCCGAAACCAGACGAGCUACUUAUAGACAGUUUACUUGAACCAACUCAUCUAUGUGGCAAAAUAGUGAGAAGAUCUAUAAGUAGAGGUGACAUGCCUAACGAGCCUGGUGAUAGCUGGUUGUCCAGAAAAUGAAUUUUAGUUCAGCUUUAAAGAUACCAAAAACACAAAUAAAUCCCACUGUAUUUUUAAAAGUUAGUCUAAAAAGGUACAGCCUUUUAGAAAUGGGUACAACCUUCACUAGAGAGUAAGAUCUAAAAACACCAUAGUAGGCCUAAAAGCAGCCAUCAAUUAAGAAAGCGUUAAAGCUCAACAAUAAUAAUAACAUUAAUCCCAGCAAUAAUAUAGCCAACUCCUAGAUUUAAUACUGGACUAUUCUAUUAUUAAAUAGAAGCAAUAAUGUUAAUAUGAGUAACAAGAAAUAUUUUCUCCUCGCACAAGUUUAAGUCAGUAACUGAUAAUACCCUGACCGUUAACAGUAAAUAAAAACAAUCCAACAAUAAAUGAUUUAUUACUUAUACUGUUAACCCAACACAGGAGUGCACCUAGGAAAGAUUCAAAGAAGUAAAAGGAACUCGGCAAACACAAACCCCGCCUGUUUACCAAAAACAUCACCUCCAGCAUCCCCAGUAUUGGAGGCACUGCCUGCCCAGUGACUAAACGUUAAACGGCCGCGGUAUUCUGACCGUGCAAAGGUAGCAUAAUCAUUUGUUCUCUAAAUAAGGACUUGUAUGAAUGGCCACACGAGGGUUUUACUGUCUCUUACUUCCAAUCAGUGAAAUUGACCUCCCCGUGAAGAGGCGGGGAUAAAUCAACAAGACGAGAAGACCCUAUGGAGCUUUAACUAACUAAUCCAAGGAAAAUAAAUUCAACCACCAAGGGAUAACAACACUCCUCAUGGAUUAGCAGUUUCGGUUGGGGUGACCUCGGAG
rnacentral:rRNA from 1 species